AAACCAUAGAGGCGGGCCUCUGUUACAGGCUUGAAUGGGUGUUUUAUUUAAGGUUUA
rnacentral:tRNA from 1 species